GUGCUCGGUUCUGAAAAAUAAUUAUCUGCUGAAUUGGUUAACGACUGAGAAUUUAUAGUUUGAAUUUGUUGUGGUGAUUUAUUAUUUGAACUAUUAAAAUUGGUAGUACUGAAUUCAUUAUUGUAAUUAGAAAAAUUUUGAGAUUGCUGAGGUAUCGAAACAUUUUGCUGCCGUUGAGGAACUUCCCAGAAUUAUUAUUGUCUUAACUUAAAUCUAACUAACUAAAAUC